rnacentral:rRNA from 1 species
UACGUAGGGGGCAAGCGUUGUCCGGAAUCAUUGGGCGUAAAGCGCGUGUAGGCGGCCCGGUAAGUCCGCUGUGAAAGUCCAGGGCUCAACCCUGGGAUGCCGGUGGAUACUGUCGGGCUCGAGUCCGGAAGAGGAGUGUGGAAUUCCUGGUGUAGCGGUGAAAUGCGCAGAUAUCAGGAGGAACACCGAUGGCGAAGGCAGCACUCUGGGACGUGACUGACACUCAUGAGCGAAAGCGUGGGGAGCGAUCCGG